rnacentral:lncRNA from 1 species
GCUUUCGGUUUAAGUUCUUGGAUUGUUUCAUAAACCAGAACGUCAUGACCUGACGAAGCGCCGGUCUUGCCGAAGUGUGGAACUUUCAGGAGCGUCACUUUAUUGCUACCGAUUUCUCCAAAGCAACGGUUUUUGUCACUUUCGUCUUUCUUGCUUGGUAUUUCGACAUUGUCUAAUAUUUUUUGCGCUUCAUUAAACUCCGUGUCGUCCACUGUCAGCAAAAGAACAUCGUUAAAAUCUUUGAAUUCGGAGUCCGCCGUGGUGGUGCAUUGGCCU